UACGUAGGGUGCAAGCGUUGUCCGGAAUUAUUGGGCGUAAAGAGCUCGUAGGCGGUUUGUCGCGUCGGCUGUGAAAUCCGGAGGCUCAACCUCCGGCCUGCAGUGGGUACGGGCAGACUAGAGUGCGGUAGGGGAGAUUGGAAUUCCUGGUGUAGCGGUGGAAUGCGCAGAUAUCAGGAGGAACACCGAUGGCGAAGGCAGAUCUCUGGGCCGUAACUGACACUGAGGAGCGAAAGCGUGGGGAGCGAACAGG
rnacentral:rRNA from 1 species